UGGGAUGUCGUCUAAUGGCAGGACUACGGAUUCUGAUUCCGUCUAUUGGGGUUCGAAUCCCUGCAUCCCAGCCA
rnacentral:tRNA from 1 species